AUUGAACGCUGGCGGCAGGCCUAACACAUGCAAGUCGAACGAGUGGCGGACGGGUGUGUAAUGUAUGGGAAACCGCCUGAUGGAGGGGUAUCACUACUGGAAACUGUCUAUAAUACCGUAACCUAUCGUAUGCCCCCAGAUGGGAUUAGAUAGUAGGUGGGGAAAAGGCUCACCAAGGCGACGACCCCUAGCUGGUCUGAGAGGAUGACCAGCCACACUGGAACUGAGACACGGUCCAGACGCCUACGGGAGGCAGCAGUGGGGAAUAUUGCACAAUGGGCGCAAGCCUGAUGCAGCCAUGCCGCGUGUAUGAAGAAGGCCUUCGGGUUGUAAAGUACUUUCAGCGGGGAGGCGUUACCCGCAGAAGAAGCACCGGCUAACUCCGUGCCAGCAGCCGCGGUAAUAC
rnacentral:rRNA from 1 species